rnacentral:ncRNA from 1 species
AGAGUUUGAUCCUGGCUCAGAAUGAACGCUAGUGGUUGGCUUAACACAUGCAAGUUGAACUAAUGUUUGGCGAACGGGUGAGUAAUACAUAGAAAUUAACCUUAAAUUAGAUUAGUUUGGUUUAAGAAAAGUCUAUGCAGAAUUAGGUUGUUGGUUCCUGUAAUGUAGAACCAAGCCAGUGAUUCUUAGCUGGUCUGAGAGGAUGAACAGCCACACUGGAACUGAGACACGGUCCAGACUCUUUUAAGAGGCAGCAGUGGGGAAUCUUAGGCAAUGAGCGAAAGCUUGACCUAGCCAAACCACGUGUGUGAUGAAGAUAAUUAUUGUAAAGCACUUUAUUUGGUUUAUAAUUAUGUUAUUACACCAAAAAAAAGUCCUGGCUAAUUUCGUGCCAGCAGCCGCGGUAAAACGAAAAGGGCUAGCGUUAUUCAGAUUAACUGGGUGUAAAGGAUAUGUAGGUUGAAAAUCAACUAUUAGUUUAAAAUUAAAGUUUUAUGCUUUAAAUAACUAUUAAAGUAAUUUUCUUGAGUUCGGUGAGAAGACUAUGGAAUUUUGUGUGUAGCGGUAAAAUGUGUUGAUAUUCAAAGGAACCUCUAAAGCGAAAGCAAUAGUCUAGACUGAAACUGACGCUAAGGUAUGAAAGCGUGGGUAGCAAAAGGGAUUAGAUACCCCCCUAGUCCACGCCCUCAACGAUGAGUGCUAUUCUUUGGAUUUUCAGAGAAGUAACUAACGUAUUAAGCACUCCACCUGGGAACUACGAUCGCAAGAUUAAAACUCAAAGGAAUUGACGGGGACCUGCACAAGUAGUGGAGCAUGUGGUUUAAAUCGAUAAUACGCGCAAAACCUUACCAAUCUUUGUAUAAUAUUUAAUAUUACAGGAGUUGCAUGGCUGUCGUCAGUCCGUGCCGUGAGGCGUUUGGUUUAUUUCAACAAACGGACGAAACUUUUUUACAUUAAAUAAUGUGUACCGCUAAGGAUAUCUUAGAGGAAGGUAAAAACAACGUCAAGUCCUUAUGACCCUAAUAGGUUGGGCUACUUUCAUGUGCUACAAUAAAAUUUUCAAUUAGAAGCCAAAAUGCAAGUUUUAGCAAACUAUAAAAAACUUUAUUCGGAUUGUUCUCUGCAACUCGAGAACAUGAAGUUGGAAUUACAAGUAAUCGCAAAUAAGAAUGUUGCGGUGAAUUAGUUCUCAGGUCUUGUACACACCGCCCGUCACGCUAUGGAAAUUUCUUUUAUCUGAAAAUUAUUUUUAAUUUACGGUAAAAAAUGGACUGAAGUGAAGUCGUAACAAGGUAGCCGU